UUAGAAGCAGCCAUUCAUUUAAAGAGUGCGUAACAGCUCACUAGUCAAGAGAUCUUGCGUGGAAAAUGUAACGGGGCUAAAACGUUAUACCGAAGAUAUGGAUUACACGCUAAGUACAAAGUUAAAGUUGUGUUACAAUCAAUUUAUGGAAAAUGAGAUUUACAUAGGUAGCGUUUAUAAACACUAUAAAGGCAAUAAGUAUGUUGUUGUAAGUAUAGCUGUUCAUACUGAGACGCUUGAAGAGCUUGUAGUUUAUCGAGCCAUUUAUGGCGACGGAGAAUUAUGGGCUAGACCUAAGAAAAUGUUUUUAGAUAAUAUUGAAAAGAACGGAAAGAUCAUUCCAAGGUUUAAAUUGAUUAAAAAACUUUGAUUUUGUUCUUAGUGUGUAGUGGUAGAGGAGCGUUCCUAUCAGCAGUGAAGUCGAAUCGGAAGGUUCGGUGGAGCGGUAGGAAGUGAGAAUGCUGGAAUGAGUAACCAUAAGAGAGGUGAGAAUCCUCUCGGCCGUAAGAGCAAGGUUUCCUGAGCCAUGGUAAUCAUCUCAGGGUUAGUCGGGCCUAAGCCGAGGCGCAGAGCGUAGGCGAUGGACAUCAGGUUAAUAUUCCUGAACCGGUUAAGUUUUGUACACUGUUCACGGGGAAGUAAUCGAAGCGGAUUCAUGGUUUAUCCGUCCAACCGAGCGGGAACGCAAAGGGAGUGAAAGUGAUUCUUCGGAGUCGCGAUUUUGGUGAAAGCCCUGGCUAGAAAAGCAGGUGUACGCGUGGACUUAGCCGCCCGUACCGCAAACCAACACAGGUGCUCGAGUCGAGUAGACUCAGGCUUACGAGCGAACCUUCGCUAAGGAACUCGGCAAUACAGCGACCGUAACUUCGGGAUAAGGUCUGCCCCCACUUCGGUGGAUAUCAGCCGCGUUCACUCAGUGAAUAUUAGGUUAAAGAGUACAUUUUUAAUCACAAAACGAAUUUUCUGAGAUAGAGCAAACGAAUUGUUCUUUUGAACGCGAACCUCUGACAUCUAACGAUGUGGGGGCCGCAGCAAAAGAGCCCACGGAACUGUUUAUCAAAAACACAGGUCUCUGCUAACACGAAAGUGGAUGUAUAGGGGCUGACUCCUGCCCAAUGCUGGAAGGUUAAGGGGAGCGCUUCACGGUGCGAACUGAAGCCCUAGUCAAUGGCGGCGGUAACUAUAACCGUCCUAAGGUAGCGAAAUUCCUUGUCAGGUAAGUUCUGACCCGCACGAAUGGAGUAAUCAUGUGGGCACUGUCUCAGCGAAGGACUCGGUGAAAGUGCAUUGGCGGUAAAGAUGCCGUCUGUCCGUACCAGGACGAAAAGACCCCAUGGAGCUUUACUACAGCUUUACAUUGAAUAUGGUUUCAACAUGUGUAGCAUAGGUGGGAGACUUUGAAGCAGAUACGCCAGUAUUUGUGGAGUCACCAAGUGAAAUACCACCCUUGUUGUGAUUGUGUUCUCACGCUGACCGUUAUCCGGUUAG
rnacentral:rRNA from 1 species